rnacentral:rRNA from 1 species
GACAGAGGGGGCAAGCGUUGCUCGGAAUUACUGGGCGUAAAGGGCGCGUAGGCGGGAUGGCAAGUCGGUCGUGAAAUCCCUCGGCUCAACUGAGGAUCGUCGAUCGAUACUGCCGUUCUUGAGGAUUGCAGAGGAGACUGGAAUUCCCGGUGUAGCGGUGAAAUGUGUAGAGAUCGGGAGGAACACCAGUGGCGAAGGCGGCUAACUGGUCCGGUUCUGACGCUGAGGCGCGAAAGCGUGGGGAGCAAACAGG